GACGUAGGGCGCGAGCGUUGUCCGGAUUUAUUGGGCGUAAAGAGCUCGUAGGCGGCUUGUCGCGUCGACUGUGAAAACCCGCGGCUCAACUGCGGGCUUGCAACCGAUACGGGCAGGCUAGAGUUCGGUAGGGGAGACUGGAAUUCCUGGUGUAGCGGUGAAAUGCGCAGAUAUCAGGAGGAACACCGGUGGCGAAGGCGGGUCUCUGGGCCGAUACUGACGCUGAGGAGCGAAAGCGUGGGGAGCGAACAGG
rnacentral:rRNA from 1 species